rnacentral:rRNA from 1 species
CCUACGGGCGGCAGCAGUGAGGAAUAUUGGUCAAUGGACGAGAGUCUGAACCAGCCAAGUAGCGUGAAGGAUGACUGCCCUAUGGGUUGUAAACUUCUUUUAUAUGGGAAUAAAACGUUCCACGUGUGGGAUUUUGUAUGUACCAUAUGAAUAAGGAUCGGCUAACUCCGUGCUAGAAGCCGCGGUAAUACGGAGGAUCCGAGCGUUAUCCGGAUUUAUUGGGUUUAAAGGGAGCGUAGGUGGAUUGUUAAGUCAGUUGUGAAAGUUUGCGGCUCAACCGUAAAAUUGCAGUUGAAACUGGCAGUCUUGAGUACAGUAGAGGUGGGCGGAAUUCGUGGUGUAGCGGUGAAAUGCUGAGAUAUCACGAAGAACUCCGAUUGCGAAGGCAGUUCACUGGACUGCAACUGACUCUGAGGCUCGAAAGUGUGGGUAUCAAACAGGAUUAGAUACCCUAGUAGUC